rnacentral:rRNA from 1 species
CCUACGGGAGGCAGCAGUGAGGAAUAUUGGUCAAUGGGCGCGAGCCUGAACCAGCCAAGUAGCGUGAAGGAUGACUGCCCUACGGGUUGUAAACUUCUUUUAUCAAGGAAUAAAGUGAGGCACGGGUGCCUUUUUGUAUGUACUUUAUGAAUAAGAAUCGGCUAACUCCGUGCCAGCAGCCGCGGUAAUACGGAGGAUCCGAGCGUUAGCCGGUUUUAUUGGGUUUAAAGGUAGCGUAGAGGGGUUGUUAAGUAAGUUGUGAAAGGUUGCGGCUCAACCGUAAAAUUGCAAUUGAUACUGGCAGUCUUGAGUACAGGUGAGGUAGGCGGAAUUCGUGGUGUAGCGGUGAAAUGCUUAGAUAUCACGCAGAACUCCGAUUGCGAAGGCAGCUUACUAAUCUGCCACUGACAUUGAGGCUCGAAAGUGUGGGUAUCAAACAGGAUUAGAUACCCCAGUAGUC